GAUAUACUCCUUCCGUUCGGAAUUACUUGUCGCAGAAAUGAAUGUAUCUAGACGUAUUUUAGUUCUAGAUACAUCCAUAUCCGAAACAAGUAAUUCCAAACGGAGGGAGUAUAUG
rnacentral:pre_miRNA from 1 species